rnacentral:rRNA from 1 species
GACGAACGCUGGCGGCGUGCUUAACACAUGCAAGUCGAACGGGCCCGCUCUCUUUUUUGGGGGUGGGUUGAGUGGCGAACGGGUGAGUAUCACGUGAGUAACCUGCCCCCUGCUCCUGGAUAACUGCUUGAAAGGGCGGCUAAUACGGGGUGUGCCGGCUGGUCCGCAUGGGCCUGGUCGGGAUAGUUUCAUCUUCGGGUGGUUCGGUGGGGGAUGGGCUCGCGGCCUAUCAGCUUGUUGGGGGGGUGAUGGCCCACCAAGGCGGUGACGGGUAGCCGGCCUGAGAGGGUGGGCGGCCACACUGGGACUGAGACACGGCCCAGACUCCUGCGGGAGGCAGCAGUGGGGGGUAUUGCGCAAUGGGCGGAAGCCUGAUGCAGCGACGUCGCGUGAGGGAUGGAGGCCUUCGGGUUGUGAACCUCUUUCUCCGGUGGUGAAGGCCCUGUCCGUUGCGGCGGGGUUGACGGUAGCCGGGGAUGAAGCGCCGGCUAACUACGUG